AUCAAAUUAAAUAACUGCUCCAUUUUCACUCAGACUCCUCAGAGUUUCCAAAUGUCAUUUUGAACCUAAAAUAGACAACAAAUGAAAUGAAAGUAAAUAUUAUCUGUUUAAAGUAAAAUCUGUGAUUAUUCUUGCUGUAAUCUACGAAACGGUACGAAUAAGAUUACUUACUACGCCCCCUCCAUUUCCGUAUUGACAACACCAAGAGCGCCAACAAACGAGUUUAACGGACUGUCAUUUUUCGUUCACUUGCCUGAAACCACCGUUCACGACGAUAUCGCGUUCAGGUCGGCCGUGGCUUGCACGAGGACAGAAGAAACCGGAACGGUUUACUUCAGGAUUCCCCUCACGAAGACGUUUAAUCGGCAUCAAAUGGUUGGAUAUUGGCAUCGCCUGCAGCUCUCAAAGCCAUGCUGUCUGAUGGGGGAGGAAGAAAGAAAAUAUGAAGUCGAAACAACAUGAGG